UUGAGCCGUAUGUGCUGAAAGGCACACGUGCGGUUCUUAGGGGGGAAGGGGAUAGUAAUAUCCCUGACCUACCCGAC
rnacentral:ncRNA from 1 species